AAGGAUCAUUAAUGAAUUCACUAUGGAGUUGUUGCUGGCCUCUAGGGGCAUGUGCACGCUUCACUAGUCUUUCAACCACCUGUGAACUUUUGAUAGAUCUGUGAAGUCGUCUUUCAAGUCGUUAGACUUGGUUUGCUGGGAUGUAAACGUCUCGGUGUGACUACGCAGUCUAUUUACUUAUAACACCCCAAAUGUAUGUCUACGAAUGUCAUUUAAAGGGCCUUGUGCCUAUAAACCAUAAUACAACUUUCAACAACGGAUCUCUUGGCUCUCGCAUCGAUGAAGAACGCAGCGAAAUGCGAUAAGUAAUGUUAAUUGCAGAAUUCAGUGAAUCAUCGAAUCUUUGAACGCACCUUGCGCCCCUUGGUAUUCCGAGGGGCAUGCCUGUUUGAGUGUCAUUAAAUUCUCAAACUCACUCUGGUUUUUCCAAUUGUGAUGUUUGGAUUGUUGGGGGCUGCUGGCCUUGACAGGUCGGCUCCUCUUAAAUGCAUUAGCAGGACUUCUCAUUGCCUCUGCGCAUGAUGUGAUAAUUAUCACUCAUCAAUAGCACGCAUGAAUAGAGUCUGGCUCUCUAACCGUCCGCAAGGACAAUUUGACAAUUUGACCUCAAAUCAGGUAGGACUACCCGCUGAACUUAA
rnacentral:rRNA from 1 species